CCUUGCCCAUUUUCCCCAUGCGAAUUAGGAGAUGUUAUAAAAAUAAUUUUCGUCAUUGCAUGCGAGCGAGCGAUUUUUUUUUUGCAAAUGGUGCUCCAACGCUGCGUGUCUCUGGCCCUCUCGCUCUUUCCAAUGCGGAGAGUCGCUGAGCGGAGAGCGCGAGAGCAUGAUUCAUUUCGUGCCCUCUUGCUCGCACAGUAGCGGCGGCUUGCGUCGCCAUAUUGGAAUAUUGGUAAAUUCCAACAGCCAAGCGCCGCAUUGCCGCGCACAAGUGCGAGCGGGACAACGGGACGGGCAAGUGCGUGCGUGAAUGCGACAGCUAGAACAGCGCUUUGGUCUAAUGGGCUAAACCUGGGCAAAAAGAGAUAUUUCUUUUUGUAUUAUUGUACAAUUCGAUUGUGCAUUGUGCGUGUUUGUUGUUGUUGUUAUUGUGUCCACUGGGAACUGUGAGCACCCCCGCUCUGUGCACCCCCAUGUGUGUUUCGUCGUUGUUGCUGAGCGCGUCGCGCACGCAAACAAACAGACAAGCGAAAAGAGUGCAAGAGAGGGUGAACAGAUAACGAUUCAUUGAUUUGAGAGUAAGUGGGGUUAUGUUUGCGUCACCCAAAUAUUUGUCAGUGUUCCCA